rnacentral:rRNA from 1 species
GGGGGGGGCAGGCCUAACACAUGCAAGUCGAGCGGAAACGAGUUAACUGAACCUUCGGGGGACGUUAACGGCGUCGAGCGGCGGACGGGUGAGUAAUGCCUAGGAAAUUGCCCUGAUGUGGGGGAUAACCAUUGGAAACGAUGGCUAAUACCGCAUGAUGCCUACGGGCCAAAGAGGGGGACCUUCGGGCCUCUCGCGUCAGGAUAUGCCUAGGUGGGAUUAGCUAGUUGGUGAGGUAAGGGCUCACCAAGGCGACGAUCCCUAGCUGGUCUGAGAGGAUGAUCAGCCACACUGGAACUGAGACACGGUCCAGACUCCUACGGGAGGCAGCAGUGGGGAAUAUUGCACAAUGGGCGCAAGCCUGAUGCAGCCAUGCCGCGUGUGUGAAGAAGGCCUUCGGGUUGUAAAGCACUUUCAGUCGUGAGGAAGGUAGUGUAGUUAAUAGCUGCAUUAUUUGACGUUAGCGACAGAAGAAGCACCGGCUAACUCCGUGCCAGCAGCCGCGGUAAUACGGAGGGUGCGAGCGUUAAUCGGAAUUACUGGGCGUAAAGCGCAUGCAGGUGGUUUGUUAAGUCAGAUGUGAAAGCCCGGGGCUCAACCUCGGAAUAGCAUUUGAAACUGGCAGACUAGAGUACUGUAGAGGGGGGUAGAAUUUCAGGUGUAGCGGUGAAAUGCGUAGAGAUCUGAAGGAAUACCGGUGGCGAAGGCGGCCCCCUGGACAGAUACUGACACUCAGAUGCGAAAGCGUGGGGAGCAAACAGGAUUAGAUACCCUGGUAGUCCACGCCGUAAACGAUGUCUACUUGGAGGUUGUGGCCUUGAGCCGUGGCUUUCGGAGCUAACGCGUUAAGUAGACCGCCUGGGGAGUACGGUCGCAAGAUUAAAACUCAAAUGAAUUGACGGGGGCCCGCACAAGCGGUGGAGCAUGUGGUUUAAUUCGAUGCAACGCGAAGAACCUUACCUACUCUUGACAUCCAGAGAACUUUUCAGAGAUGAAUUGGUGCCUUCGGGAACUCUGAGACAGGUGCUGCAUGGCUGUCGUCAGCUCGUGUUGUGAAAUGUUGGGUUAAGUCCCGCAACGAGCGCAACCCUUAUCCUUGUUUGCCAGCGAGUAAUGUCGGGAACUCCAGGGAGACUGCCGGUGAUAAACCGGAGGAAGGUGGGGACGACGUCAAGUCAUCAUGGCCCUUACGAGUAGGGCUACACACGUGCUACAAUGGCGCAUACAGAGGGCGGCCAACUUGCGAAAGUGAGCGAAUCCCAAAAAGUGCGUCGUAGUCCGGAUUGGAGUCUGCAACUCGACUCCAUGAAGUCGGAAUCGCUAGUAAUCGUGGAUCAGAAUGCCACGGUGAAUACGUUCCCGGGCCUUGUACACACCGCCCGUCACACCAUGGGAGUGGGCUGCAAAAGAAGUAGGUAGUUUAACCUUCGGGGGGACGCUUACCACUUUGUGGUUCAUGACUGGGGGGGGG